GCUCUCUUUCUCUCCCUCUUCUUUUGGAUUUUUCUUUUUCUUUUAGGUUUCAAUCUUCAAUCCAAGAUUUCUCAUUCAUCCUUUGGAAUUUUUGAGUGCCAUUUGCGGCAUUCAAAUCCAUACCAACAAUUUCAGCUUUUGGCCACUCUAGAAAGUCCGAAAAUUGAGACCUAUUUUGAGGGUUUUUGCAUUCUAAUAGGACACAGAUGGCAAGUGGCGGACGACGCUCCUCUACAGGGUUCGAUGGAGCAUUGUUCACUGGAGAUUGAUUGAGGAAAUGAAAUGUGGAAAUAUCCAAUCGAAGCUGUCAUUAGCCAUUAUUAUGGCAGGGACAUUUGUGGUUGGUUGAACAAAUUUCUCCAUUAUUAUCGUUGGGACGCUUAUGGUUGAUUGAAUUUAAUUUCUCCAUUAUUAUAGCACAGGGACGUUUGUGGUUGAUUGAAGUUUCUUGGUGACACCGGAAAAAAAAGAAUGAAAGUUUCUUCGUGACGAAAUUUUUCUUAAUUUCUAAAUAUAUAUUUUUUUAUUUCGGUAGACUAGAUAUUUUUCUUGUAAUUGCCAUUUAACGAAAUUGGUUAACAAGGAAGAUUUAUGUAUUUUUACUAAAUAUGAGGAGGAUUAGCGCUUAUGUAAAUGUAAAUGAAGUAAUGAAAUUUUUUUAUGAACUGGGAGAAUGGGAGGUACAUAAGUUUUUUUCAAAAUAGCAUGCUUUUUAGUAAUAGAGAAGUAAUUCUGAACAGGCACUUAAGAGCAUUGGGGAUUGAUAGAGUUAGUUUUUAGUAGUUGGAAAUGAAAUGUGGAAAUAUCCGAUCCAUUAUUAUGGCAGGGACGUUUGUGGUUGGUUGAACAAAUUUCUCCAUUAUUAUGGCUGGGACACUUGUGGUUGAUUGAAUUUAAUUUCUCCAUUAUUAGGGCAGGGACGUUUGUGGUUGAUUGAAUUUAAUUUCUCCAUUAUUAUGGCCGUAACGUUUGUGGUUGAUUGAAAUUUCUUGGUGACAUUGGAAAAAUAAAAAUGAAAGUUUCUUGGUGACGAGAUUUUUCUUAAUUUUUAGAUUUUUUA